UAUCAAGCGACAGCAAGCAGACAAGUUAGAGGCUAGGUCCUUUAGGACUCGUUUUAUAAGGUAUCCUAAGAAAAUCAUGGGAUACUACUUAGAUAUUCUUACAGAGGAUUUAGAGAAAGCAUUCCUUAUAGGAGAUAAGGACAUUAGGAAUGAUUCCAAAACUUACAAUGAGGUGAUGUUAGAUAUAGACUUCGAGAAAUAGAUGGAAGGGAUGAAGUCAGAAAUUGACUCCAUGCACUCCAACCAGAUUUGGUC
rnacentral:lncRNA from 1 species